rnacentral:rRNA from 2 species
GCGUACGAUCAUACCAGCACUUAUGCACCAGAUCCCAUCAGAACUCCGUAGUUAAGCGUGUUUGGGCGAGAGUAAUAUUAAGAUGGGUGAUCUCCCAAGAAGUACUCGUGUUGCACUUU